GGCUUCUCCUGAUUUCUUGGCUGCUGUUGUUUGCGCCUCUUCGCUUGUGGCUUUUCUUUACUUGUUUCCAACGUUUUUGUUAACUGGAUGGAUUACAGAAUUUUAGAACUAGGAACGUUCCUAGAGGUCAGCUCUGGUAUAGGAUACCAAGAUUGCUUUGCUUUUAGUCAUUGACUAAUUGUAAUGGGAUUUUGAGUAAAUUAUAUAGCGGCUCCGAGAGUCACAUGUGAAAGGAAUGGGGUUGGAUUGGAUAAUAAAAAAGUAGAUAAGUUGUAAAUUGCCACCCAGAAACUGGGGCUGUAGUCUAGCCACAUUAUGAGGGAGACAACUGAGAUCAGAAAAGUUGCUGUUGAGAAAUGAGCUUCAUUUCACUGAAGAUGAUUUUUCUGUUUUCUUUGGUUGCUUUUAAUAUGUGUUUGCCUUUCUGUAUGCAGAGAAUGGAAAUGGAAAUGAGUAAGUAGAAUUCAUGUCCUGUUUUGGUUCUUUAAAUAAUGGCUUUGUUGGAGCAGCCAUGAUGGAAGGCCUGGACGACGGCCCCGACUUCCUCUCGGAGGAGGACCGAGGAAUUAGAAAUCUGAACCUUGGAGGACGCCUGGAUGGCUCAGGUCAUGAUCCCAGGGUCCUGGGAUCGAGCCUCGCAUCGGGCUCCCUGC